rnacentral:tRNA from 1 species
GCCUGGGUAGCUCAGCUGGUUGAGCGUCUGACUCUAUUUCAGCUCAGGUUAUGAUCUCAUGGUUGGUGGGUUUGAGCCCCACACCAGGCU